AGCGAACGCUGGCGGCAGGCUUAACACAUGCAAGUCGAACGGGCAUAGCAAUAUGUCAGUGGCAGACGGGUGAGUAACGCGUGGGAACAUACCUCUUGGUUCGGAACAACACAGGGAAACUUGUGCUAAUACCGGAUAAGCCCUUACGGGGAAAGAUUUAUCGCCGAGAGAUUGGCCCGCGUCUGAUUAGCUAGUUGGUGUGGUAAAAGCGCACCAAGGCGACGAUCAGAGCUGGUCUGAGAGGAUGAUCAGCCACAUUGGGACUGAGACACGGCCCAAACUCCUACGGGAGGCAGCAGUGGGGAAUAUUGGACAAUGGGCGCAAGCCUGAUCCAGCCAUGCCGCGUGAGUGAUGAAGGCCCUAGGGUUGUAAAGCUCUUUUGUGCGGGAAGAUAAUGACGGUACCGCAAGAAUAAGCCCCGGCUAACUUCGUGCCAGCAGCCGCGGUAAU
rnacentral:rRNA from 1 species